GCCCUCUUAGCUCAGCGGUAGAGCAUCUCACUUGUAAUGAGAAGGUCAACGGUUCGACCCCGUUAGUGGGCA
rnacentral:tRNA from 1 species